rnacentral:rRNA from 1 species
AGUGAACGCUGGCGGUAGGCCUAACACAUGCAAGUCGAACGGCAGCACAGUAAGAGCUUGCUCUUACGGGUGGCGAGUGGAGGACGGGUGAGGAAUACAUCGGAAUCUACUUUUUCGUGGGGGAUAACGUAGGGAAACUUACGCUAAUACCGCAUACGACCUACGGGUGAAAGCAGGGGAUCUUCGGACCUUGCGCGAUUGAAUGAGCCGAUGUCGGAUUGGCUAGUUGGCGGGGUAAAGGCCCACCAAGGCGACGCUCCGUAGCUGGUCUGAGAGGAUGAUCAGCGACACUGGAACUGAGACACGGUCCGGACUCCUAGAUGGGGCAGAAGAGGGGGUUAUUGGACGAUGGGCGCAAGCCUGAUCCAGCCGUACCGCGUGGGUGAAGAAGGCCUUCGGGUUGUAAGGCCCUUUUGUUGGGAAAGAAAAGCAGCGGGUUAAUACCCCGCCGUUCUGACGGUACCCAAAGAAUAAGCACCGGCUAACUUCGUG